GAUGUUUCCAAGUGAUCAUUCUUGGUAGUGAGCACAUAUAUGAUGGUAGAGUAACUCACUAUGGUGAUGACCAGAGGCAAGAAGAAGUAGAGGCAGGAGAGGAUGAUAAACAGGUCAGAGAGGCGAUGGGAAACACCACAGCCAGCAGCCUGUCCACACUCAUGCACAUCAUCAGCAGUAUGGAGCAGUACAUGUAGCAGUAGUAAGCUGCACUGAGCACACGACACGCCGCCUCACCGAACACCCAAUCUGAAGCGUUCAGCUGGUAGUGGAUCUUCAGAGGCAGCAGCAGGGUGAAGAGCAGGUCCACACACGCCAGGUCUCUGUCAUAACAGAGAAGUUGCGUCCAGAACCAGCUGUAACAAAACAAACAAAACGUUAAAGGCAGGAGGACAGUAGAGAGACGACAGGAAAUUACUGGGAGGAGAGAGUGGAGCAGGAUCAGCAAAGGACCUUGAGACGGGAAUCGAAUUUGGGUCGCCGUGAGCGCAGUUGCGCUGUGACACGUUUACUAUAAUGAAUAAG